ACCAGGUCUUGACAUCCGAUGCUAUUUCUAGAGAUAGAAAGUUACUUCGGUACAUCGGUGACAGGUGGUGCAUGGUUGUCGUCAGCUCGUGUCGUGAGAUGUUGGGUUAAGUCCCGCAACGAGCGCAACCCCUAUUGUUAGUUGCCAUCAUUCAGUUGGGCACUCUAGCGAGACUGCCGGUAAUAAACCGGAGGAAGUGGGAUGACGUCAAAUCAUCAUGCCCCUUAUGACCUGGGCUACACACGUGCUACAAUGGUUGGUACAACGAGUUGCGAGUCGGUGACGGCGAGCUAAUCUCUUAAAGCCAAUCUCAGUUCGGAUUGUAGGCUGCAACUCGCCUACAUGAAGUCGGAAUCGCUAGUAAUCGCGGAUCAGCACGCCGCGGUGAAUACGUUCCCGGGCCUU
rnacentral:rRNA from 1 species